rnacentral:rRNA from 1 species
UACGUAGGGUGCAAGCGUUGUCCGGAAUUAUUGGGCGUAAAGAGCUCGUAGGCGGUUUGUCGCGUCUGCUGUGAAAACCCGAGGCUCAACCUCGGGCCUGCAGUGGGUACGGGCAGACUAGAGUGCGGUAGGGGAGAUUGGAAUUCCUGGUGUAGCGGUGGAAUGCGCAGAUAUCAGGAAGAACACCCGUGGCGAAGGCGGCUCUCUGGGACGGUACUGACGCUGAGACGCGAAAGCGUGGGGAGCAAACAGG